GUCAUUUAUUUUAACGUUAAAGCUUGAAUUACAUUAAAGUGUCAGAAAAGUGACGACCAAAGUAUUUUGUCUCCAACUGUAGGUGUAUAUAUAGGAUUCAAAAAUGACCAGAGUUUGAAUUUUUUAAAAAAUGGCAAACUUCAGUGCUUACUUAUUCCUUUCAUUUGUCAUUGACGUCAUGUCCGUUGAUCUUAAUCCACGUAUGUUGAAUGGAAAUCCUCAACCAUUCUAUGAAAAUGUGAUUUUUAACAUCAAACAUAUAAAAAACGAUUUAGUGGUUAAAUCAUGUUUAGGAAUAAAGCUUGAGGAAGCGUAGCUCAUUACAUCAGCUUUUUGUAUUCUUAAAAAUGAUAAUUCCAGUCAAAUUAUUGCCGAAGCUCAAAUUGAUGGAGGAAACCUUGUCGAACGUGACACCCAACUGGGAAGAAUAUAUUCAUCCUUGAUAUGAAAAGGAAAACAUGAUAUAGGAUUGCUUCUUCUCAGAGAAUAUCCUAGAUAUAUUAAUAAAAAAAUGAAGGAAAUAAGAAUACUUCCAUUUUCAAAUGACUUCAAAAAUAUGAUAGGAGUUGUAAGUGGUAUCAAUUCUGUCAACCCACUAGAAUCAAAUAGUUUUGGUCAUUUAAAUGUUACUAUUUAUAGUAUGUCUCAAUGCAAAAGGGAAUUUCCGGAAUUGAAUUAUGUUCAAAAAUUGGAUGGAUAUUUUCAAAUUUGUGCUGUUCCUAUUAAUAAACAAGCAGACAUGUUUGAAUCAGAUUCGGGAGCUAUCUUGUCCAGUGCAUUUUAUGAUAAUCGUGACAGAGGAAUCAUUGGAAUAUUUAACGUUAUUCCUGAAAGAGCUGAACAUUUUAACCAACAACGUCGUCCAUUGAUUUUCACACAGAUUUAUCCUUAUUUUCCUUGGAUUACUGAUGAUCUUGCAUAUAUUCCUUAUGAAACUUUA